rnacentral:lncRNA from 1 species
ACCCACAUGACCGGAAGUGGCCCUCGACGACUUCCUCCUGACCACGCGGUGGGCGGCGAGGCCUAGUCGGACCGCUCCUGCCUAGGGUGAGCCCAGACGGCGGUCCCACGCGCCCGUCCGCGGCCAGGAGCCAGGAGUCCCGGGUUAAGGCCGCGGGCACGCCGCCCCGACAAGCCCCGGCCCCAUCUGCCCUGGGAAAGGGGGUCCACACACACCCUGCCCCGCUCGGCCCCUGCUCCCGCGCCUCGGAGGCCCCAACAUGGCUGCCCCCAUGGCUGCUGCCCCCCGCGGGGGCUCAGGGACUGCAGGCUUGGCCCGAGGCUGCUGCUGGACCGUGGCUCCGCGCAGCGCGGGGAGAAGUCCCAGGCCCGCUGGCGAGAAGGAGGGCCUUCGUGAGGGCUGGGGGGGGGGGGGGCUCCAUACCCACCCCGGGGGCCACGCGGAGGCCCCGCUCCUGGUGGCGGUGGGUGCUCCGGGGACCCGGGGACGUGGGGCCUUCCUUGGUCGGGGGCAGGCAGCAGGUCGGCCGCGGGGGCCGUUCCGGGCCUCGCGGGGAGUCGGGGUGAGGCCGCCCUCCCCGGAACGAGCGCACCUCAGAACACGCGCCCUGCUGUGGGCCCCGGAGCUGCGGGCCCGGGACGGGGGGCACGGGGCGGCAGGCGGGCUCCCGGGGACCGCCCGAGGGGGGACAGCGGGGCGCGGGCCAGGGAGCCUCGGCGCGUCUGCCGCAGCUUUCAGGCUCGCUGGUGUCGGCGUCGGGCACGUGGGGCUGCGUGGUCAGCCUCGCUCGCUCCUAGCCAGUCUCGAGGCCCUGCCGCCGUGGGCCUGAGUGGCCAGCGUCAGGGCGAGGCAGCAGGCCCGGGAGGGCGGACCCCGAGGGAGGGAGGGCGGACCCCGAGGGAGGGAGGGAGGGAGGGCCCCGAGGGCGGGAGGACCCCGAGGGCGGGCUGCGGGGGGGGGGGGGGGGGGGAAGGAGGGCGGGGGUGGGGGGACCCGGAGCUUGCCAACAACUCACCUGCCGAUCUUGCACGUGACCGGAGGGGGCCUCCCCCGCCCCGCACCCGGACACGGGUCUCCACCGUCGCCCCCAGUGACCCCCCAGGCAGGGCGCACCCCGGGCCCCGCCGCCAAGGGGCUCACCCCGCCUCACUGUCCCGCUCUCCAGGUGCCCCCGCUGCCCGCCAGCCCUGCCCAGGGUCGCCAUGCCUCGGGGCCAAAAGAGCAAGCUCCGUGCCCGCAAGAAACGCCACGAGGGCCACGGGGAGGAGAGUGUCGGGGUGGCGGCGGCCGCAGCGGCGGUGGCGGAGGUGGAGGUGGAGGCGGAGGCGGCGGAGGCGGCGGAGGCGGCGGAGGUGGAGGUGGAGGCGGAGGCGGCGGAGGCGGCGGAGGCGGCGGCGGCGGCCGAGGAGGAGGCCCCCGCAUCCCCUCGCUGAGCCUGCAGGGGAGUCCCCCGCGCGCCCCCGAGGCGGCGGCGGCGCCCCCCCCCGCAGCCCGGGUCUCCCGGCGCCUCCGCCUCCGCCUGCGCCUCCGCCUCCGCCUCGGGGUCGCCGCGGGAGCAGGGCGCCGGGAGCCCCGCCGGGUCCCCCGGCCCCAGCGCCCGCAGGGACCCCCUCAGCCGCAAGGCCAGCAUGCUGGUGCAGCUCCUGCUGGAGAAGCACAGCAGCGGGGAGCCCGUCCCGCGGGCCGCGCUGCAGAAGACGGUGGGCAGGAAGUACCGCGAGCACUUCCCCGAGAUCUUCCGGUGCGCCGCCGAGCGCCUGGAGCUGGUCUUCGGCCUGGAGAGCUCAGGGAGGUCGACGCCCGCAGCCAGUCGUACGCGCUGGUCAGCAAGCUGGGCCUGGCCGCCGCCGCCACCAGCACCCGGGAGCUGCCCAAGACCGGCCUCCUCAUGACGCUGCUGGGCGUCAUCUUCAUGAAGGGCAACCGCGCCGCCGAGGAGGACAUCUGGGAGUUCCUGCACAUGCUGGGCGUCUACGAGGGCAGGUGGCACCUGAUCUUCGGGGAGCCCCGGAAGCUCCUCACCCAAGACCUGGUGCGCCAGGGCUACCUGGAGUACCGCCAGGUGCCGGCCAGCGACCCCCCGCGCCACGAGUUCCUGUGGGGCCCGCGAGCCCGCGCCGAGACCAGCAAGAUGCAGGUGCUGCAGGUCCUCGCCAAGAUCAACGACACCGUGCCCAGCUGCUUCCCCGAGCUCUACGCCGAGGCUCUGCUAGACCAGGAGGAGCGCGCGGGGCCCAGGGCCUCGGCCAGGGGGGCCUCGGCCACGGCCACGGCCAGGGCGGCCUCGGCCAUGGGGGCCUCGGCUGCCGCUGCCUCGGCCAUGGGGGCCUCGGCCGCCGCGACCACGGCCACGGUCAGGGGGGCCUCGGCUGCCACUGCCUCGGCCUGGGGGGCCUCGGCCGCCGCGACCACGGCCACGGCCAGGUGGGCCUUGGCCUCGGCCAGGGGGGCCUCGGCCGCCGCGGCCGCGGCCACAGCCACGGCCUGGCCGCCUGCCCUGGAGGCGGCGCUGGGCUUCCUCCGCCUCCAGGGAGGCGCUCGGGGCGGCGGCGGCUCCUCCUCGGGGCUGCAGCGGGGCGGGCGGUCCACCUUCUGAGUGGUGCAGGCCUAGGGAUGGAGGGCACACAAAAGCUCUUCCUCAUACUUGUUCUAAGCUGGUAACUUCUAGAAACACACAGACGGUUAUAUUUAUUUCGGUGUUUUCAAAAGUUUUUUCUCUUAGAAAGCAGAGAUCUCACAUAUAAGAUAGCAUUCAGCAUUUUAAGUAGUGUGGGUUGAGGGGGGUGUAGUUUUAACAAAACACUUUUUUGUUCCUCAUAUGAGUUGUUCUAGUAAAGAUACAUAAAAAGAAACAUACACAUAGACAUCAAGUAAAGCUAUAUAGUAUUUUUUCAAAUGUUUUUCUUUUAAUAUGAAUUUUACUUAGCUUCAGAAUAUAAAUAUAUGAGCAACAUAGAUACCCAAUUUUGCUAUUUAAAAGGUUUUAACGUUCCACUUUUGGUAUUUGUAAAACAAUUUAAAAAUAUUCAGUAUUUGUUCAUGAUCCAGCCAAGAUGACAUGGCAUCAGAACAGGAUUUUCAUGGAGAUGUGGAAGAAUCCAACAGCAGAAUAGUUGGGACUACAAAGUGCAUGAAAAAACUUUUUAAAAGUUUAAUACUUUCAGUUUUUUGCUUUAUUUCUUUUAGUCUUUCUUUUCUAAUAUUAAAAGUUAUCUAUCCUGGAUUUGUGUAGCUUAUUAAAGACUAUUUAUUGAAGAACAACCGUAUAUUCUCUAAUAUCUACUCAAUUAAGAAAAAAAAUUAAUGGGAGGUUGAUAAUUUGGGGUUUCAAAAUAAUCAUAUGAUAACUAUCAAUGAUUAAAGAUCCAAUAUUUCCCAAUAAGUAUGCCAAGCGCAUUACAAUACAAUGUGCAUUCCAACAUUCCUACAAGACAAGACUUACGAGAGAGAGUCCCUUUACUGAUAAAUGACUUCUAGAUUUCUCAAGGUCAUCAGGCUGGCAAGCAAGGGAUGGUCUCAGGAACAUGAAAUUCUGGGACUAAAGGUGGGGGCUGGGGGGUGGGGGUGGGAGUGGAGAGUCAAAGUGCUAACACUGAGUAACAAUAAGGAUACCUUUCCUUAUAAAGAAUGAGGCUGCUUACAGCCUUGUCUCAUGUUGUCUCUCUUGAGAGGUGCAAAUGUGGUAACAUGAUGAAUCCUCCUUCUUUCCAUGGCAUCUCAUGGAGGUGAGGGACCUCAUCAAAGGGGGUGACCUCAAGUCAGCAGAGGGAGAAUUUCUAGGUCAAGGUGAGGACCCUGAAGAUGGAAACCAUCAACCUCUUAACAGUGAGGGCUCAGGAAACAGCCCAGAUCCUGACUGCAGGAGAUCUAAGGGGGCCACCAAACUUAGAGCAGUGCAGUGCCAUAGGACCUCACCCUUCUACCAGUCUGGAGAGAAUAUGGACAGGGGGGCCAGAUGGGGCUCAUGCUUGCUUUAGACUCUGAAGUCAGGAUUGUGAGCAUCUUAAGCUGAUGUGAAGUAUCUCAGGAGUAGCUUUUCCAAGUUGUACAAGGAGUACAAUUUUUUUUGACCUUUUCUAUUAACCAGAACAAGAUAGCAUGUUAUUGGCAUAGGGAUUGUCAUGAAAAUGUGAAAUAACUCCACGUGAAAAUUACUUGGGAACCACAAAAAAGAGAAAUAGGACAGUAAAAGGUGUUAAAUUCUUGGCCUGGCUUAUUCUUUCAGUCUUUAAUAUUAUCAUAUAUAUCUGCCUAUAUAUAUCUAUAUAAAAGAGAUAUAUGUAGAUACAUAUGUAUAUAUAUAUCUGGAUUUACUCUGCUUAUUCAGGAAUGUGGGAGAAAUUAAAUAAUACAUUAGAAAUCCUGUUUACCGUCUAAUUCUCAAGCAUUAAUUUAGCAUCUGCUCUUUGGAAGAACCAUGGUAGUAUGAGGGAAAUGGUAAAAAAAGAAGACUGAGCCACUGCCCACAGAAUUACCAAGUCUAGGAGCAGCUAUCAUAAGAGGAUGGUGAGAUACCCUCUGGAAGACCUACAGGUCAGCAAAAAGAAGGGAUGAGGAAGAGGAGAAAGUUCCAGAUGAGAGCAGUUGGGUAUAAAUUCCUUGAGGCCAUGUGGUUUGGGGCUGGGAGUCUGCAAGUCUUCCAAGGCAGAAGGUUGGGCUAAGUGAGGCUAAGCAUAUCAUAAGGAAAGGGCAGAUAGCAGAUUGUGUGUAUGGGAAUGGACAGGCUGAAGCCCGGAAUGGAGAACUGCUCUUCACAGCUACACUGGGAAUGUGGGCAAACCAGAGAGACCUCUCUACCUAAAGCAGGAAUGGACAGGGCCCUGUGCUCCUGUCCCAGGGCAGGCAAACCCAGUGCACAAACGAGGCAUUUCAUGUACAUCAUAUCUAAGAAACUUCAAAGAAACAGUGUGAUACUCCCUUGAAGGAUGGUCAAGAAGCCACGAAAUUCACACUCUGCCUUGCAUGAGGAGGGCCAGAGCCCACUCCAUUAAAAUGGCAUUGUAAUUAGGUUUUACGGAGUACACUUAGGCAAAUUCUCAGCUGAGUUGCCUCUAACUGGGGAAGACUCCCGCAUACUGAAAUUAAGCAACACCCACUCAAACAGGGACAAUUUGCUUGCCAGGCAACAUAUUGGCUAUUUUGGUGUUCUCUGUCCUGCAAUGCAUAUUCUCCGACAUAUGCUGGAUCAAAGCAAACAAACAAAAAUAUUACAAAGGUGUGGGUGGUAUCAUCUGCGACCAAAAUUAUUAGAGUAAUAAUUGUCAUUCAUAAGAGACCCAAUGUUUGCCAAUCACUGCACUAGGUACUUUACAUACAUUACAGACAGUUCCAACAGUCCCGCAGGCUGGGGCUUAUCCAACCCACUUAACAGAGAAAGAACUUGAAAUAUUCUCAGGUUCAGAUAGCGAAUGAAGUAACCAAACCAAAAGUAGAGCCUGGUCUGAUUUCUCUGGAGUCCACAUUGUGCCACGCCUCCCAACCUGAGGCUGAUCUUGUGUCUCUUAAUUCAUUUCUCUUCUCACUGUUCCACAAUGUUCUCAGGCAAAACAUUAAGAGGACCUUGCAGUGAAAACAUCAUAAGCAGGCCUAAGGAAGGAAGGUGAGUAUGAGAAUAAACCGUAAUUUGGGGAUUAUCUGUGGGCUUCAUUUACUUAGG